rnacentral:hammerhead_ribozyme from 1 species
GAACUGUUGAGGAGUCCUACAAUAGGACGAAAUGGUCAUCCAGUGC